rnacentral:sRNA from 1 species
GUGAUACAAGGAGCUCAUGCCAGGAAGUAAGUCCUGGCUCAACAGUGAUUCCCUGAAAAGCAUCAGAUACAAAAUUGUCAAUUUUGACCCUAAACUUUUGGAAGGGAAAGUAAAGGAGGAUCCUGACCAGGGGGAAUCCAUGAAACCUUUAACCUUUGCAAGGUUCUACUUGCCAAUUCUGGUUCCCAGCGCAAAGAAGGCCAUAUACAUGGAUGAUGAUGUAAUUGUGCAAGGUGAUAUUCUUGCCCUUUACAAUACACCACUGAAGCCAGGACAUGCAGCUGCAUUUUCAGAAGAUUGUGAUUCAGCCUCUACUAAAGUUGUCAUCCGUGGAGCAGGAAACCAGUACAAUUACAUUGGCUAUCUUGACUAUAAAAAGGAAAGAAUUCGUAAGCUUUCCAUGAAAGCCAGCACUUGCUCAUUUAAUCCUGGAGUUUUUGUUGCAAACCUGACGGAAUGGAAACGACAGAAUAUAACUAACCAACUGGAAAAAUGGAUGAAACUCAAUGUAGAAGAGGGAUUGUAUAGCAGAACCCUGGCUGGUAGCAUCACAACACCUCCUCUGCUUAUCGUAUUUUAUCAACAGCACUCUACCAUCGAUCCUAUGUGGAAUGUCCGCCACCUUGGUUCCAGUGCUGGAAAACGAUAUUCACCUCAGUUUGUAAAGGCUGCCAAGUUACUCCACUGGAAUGGACAUUUUAAGCCAUGGGGAAGGACUGCUUCAUAUACUGAUGUUUGGGAAAAAUGGUAUAUUCCAGACCCA